GACGAACCGUGCAAACGUUGUUCGAAAUCACUGGGCUUAAAGGGCGCGUAGGCGGCUCGCCAAGUCGGGGGUGAAAUCUUUCGGCUCAACCGGAAAAGUGCCUUCGAUACUGGCGGGCUAGAGGGAGGUAGGGGCAUGCGGAACUUCCGGUGGAGCGGUGAAAUGCGUUGAUAUCGGAAGGAACGCCGGUGGCGAAAGCGGCGUGCUGGACCUCUUCUGACGCUGAGGCGCGAAAGCUAGGGGAGCAAACGGGG
rnacentral:rRNA from 1 species